GUUUCCGUAGUGUAGUGGUUAUCACGUGUGCCUAACACGCACAAGGUCCUGGGUUCGAUCCCCAGCGGAAACA
rnacentral:tRNA from 1 species